GACGAACGCUGGCGGCGUGCUUAACACAUGCAAGUCGAACGGAAAGGCCCUGCUUUUGUUGGGUGCUCGAGUGGCGAACGGGUGAGUAACACGUGAGUAACCUGCCCUUGACUUUGGGAUAACUUCAGGAAACUGGGGCUAAUACCGGAUAGGAGCUCCUGCUGCAUGGUGGGGGUUGGAAAGUUUCGGCGGUUGGGGAUGGGCUCGCGGCUUAUCAGCUUGUUGGUGGGGUAGUGGCUUACCAAGGCUUUGACGGGUAGCCGGCCUGAGAGGGUGACCGGCCACAUUGGGACUGAGAUACGGCCCAGACUCCUACGGGAGGCAGCAGUGGGGAAUAUUGCACAAUGGGCGGAAGCCUGAUGCAGCAACGCCGCGUGCGGGAUGACGGCCUUCGGGUUGUAAACCGCUUUCGCCUGUGACGAAGCGUGAGUGACGGUAAUGGGUAAAGAAGCACCGGCUAACUACGUG
rnacentral:rRNA from 1 species